CAAAAAUAUAAGGAACUAACUAAGAAAAGACGAGUGAAUUCGAAGUAAAAAUAUAUAUAAAUAUCAUCCGAUCAUUCUCUAAGGCAUGUUACUACAUCAAAAACAUUGUUUUAAUUGAUUAAUUGUGAACUAGUAAGUGAUGACUAUGAUUAAGUAUGUGCUUAAGUGUAAAGAUGACUAAAAUCUGUGGGGAAUAACGAUUUUUAACAUGUCAUGUGCAUUGGAAAUCUCUGAGGCAAAUGUUGGAAGGUUUAGGUUGUGUUUUAUUUGUUUUGUUUUGUUUUAUUUCUUUGUUUUGCUCGAGGACUAGCAAAAGCUAAGUGUAGGGGAAUUUGAUAGGAGCAUAUUUAUGCGACUUAAUUGGCUUGUUCUCGUGCAUUUACGUUAUGUUUCCUUAGUUACUUUAGUGUUUAAAGUCACUUUUGUGUGUUUUCAGAUUCCAAAGCCGAAGUGUGCAAAAUGAUGUAAUUUGGAGCCUUUUGGAGCAAAAGGAAUGGAUGAAUUGAAGACUUGAAGAAAUUAGGAUUCCUAAUCAACGAAGGAUUCCUAAUCGACGAAGGAUUCCUAAUCAACGAAGGAUUCCUAAUCGACGAAGGAUUCCUAAUUGAAGAUGGAUUCCUAAUCAUAUGAGGAUUCCUAGAAGAACAAGGAUUCCUACUCCAAGAAGGAUUCCUACUUGAAAUAGGAAAGUUAAGCCAAGGUUUCCUACUUUGGUUUGACCUUUCCUAAAUGUUCCUAAGUUUUAUCAACUUUGAAGGCAUCCUAAGCAUUCUAGGACAUCAAAUACACAUCCCUUGCACAUUAUGAACCCUUGCCGCACCCCCUUGACAUUUCCUCUUCCUUGCCGUGCAAGGGAGAAGGUUGUUUCCUGAUUUUAUGCAUUAAAACACAUUCCUAAUGUGUUUUAGGACCUUGCCGCAUAUUCCCUUGCCUUUCCUUUAAUUUUCUGAUUUUGUUUCCUAUUUCUAGAAGCCUUAGACUUAAUUUCUGAUUACCUAAAUAACCUAGGGUUUUAAUUCCUGAAAUCCUUUAAAUAAACUCCUCUUUUGCAGCCACAAAACAUCCAUACACUGCCCAUUCACGCCAGAAACCAGUCUCCACCUUCAGCCGCACCAUUCUACCACCAUUCACCCAAAUUUCUACCACAAAUCACCCCUAGCCGCAUCACCCAUCAACCCUAAACACUUCCAUACGUCCCCCAUCCAUUCUACACCAUUUAAUAACCCAAAAACCUGCCCAAUGUCCCUGUGCCGCAGCAAAGGAGAGGAAGAAGAAGUACUUGAAGAUUCUAGCUGUUCAACAUCGAACCGUUGGAAUAUUUAGGUGUUCUCUUUCUUAUAUUUACAAUGUAUAAAUCUGUUUUCCUUUGUUUUGUGAACAUGAGGAACUAAGCCUUUUUGGCUAGGGGGUUAUUCGAUACCAUGAUUAUGCUUGCAAGAUGAAUUGAUUACGUCUAAUUGUUAUUUCAUGAAUUAUGAAUGCAAUUUGCUUAACCGUUUGAUUGAUGACUUAUUUUUGUGUGUUAAUUAAGGUGGCCAACUUAGUUUUCAUGCAAGAAUUUGAAGCUAAAACAUAAGGAAGUUUCACCUAAUAGUUACAACCUUAUGUUUGCAAGUAGUGGAGGUCACUUAUAAACGAUCGUGUUAAGUGAAUUCUUGGCAAACGUUUCAUGCUUUUCAUAGUAACAAUUGUCUCGUCAAUGCUUAUAGUUUUCAUGAAGCUUAAUGAUCUUUGAUUGUACCUUUAUUGUGCUUUUCACGUAAGGGGCUUUUAGAGAAUGUUUUGAGUUGUUGCAUGUGCAUUCCCAUCCAAUUCACUAACUUUAGGAAAACUUG
rnacentral:lncRNA from 1 species